rnacentral:rRNA from 1 species
ACAUACGACCAUAGGGUGUGGAAAACAGGGCUUCCUGUCCGCUCAGCCGUACUUAAGGCACACGCCGGUGACUUAGUAGUUGGGUAGGUGAUCACUAGCGAAUCCUUACUGUUGUAUGUU